GACGAACGCUGGCGGCGUGCUUAACACAUGCAAGUCGAACGGAAAGGCCCUGCUUUUGUGGGGUGCUCGAGUGGCGAACGGGUGAGUAACACGUGAGAAACCUGCCCUUGACUUUGGGAUAACUUCAGGAAACUGGGGCAAAUACCGGAUAGGAGCUCCUCCCGCAUGGUGGGGGUUGGAAAGUUUCGGCGGUUGGGGAUGGACUCGCGGCUUAUCAGCUUGUUGGUGGGGUAGUGGCUUACCAAGGCUUUGACGGGUAGCCGGCCUGAGAGGGUGACCGGCCACAUUGGGACUGAGAUACGGCCCAGACUCCUACGGGAGGCAGCAGUGGGGAAUAUUGCACAAUGGGCGGAAGCCUGAUGCAGCAACGCCGCGUGCGGGAUGACGGCCUUCGGGUUGUAAACCGCUUUCGCCUGUGACGAAGCGUGAGUGACGGUAAUGGGUAAAGAAGCACCGGCUAACUACGUG
rnacentral:rRNA from 1 species